GGCAUGUUGUCACCACGGUACUACAAUAACAGUAAACAGCGUUUCCAUAACAGACUACCAACUAGGAUUUCCAUUCCACACUGUACUGACACAGCAGUGGCUGCCGCGGAGAACAAGCAAACGAUUCUGCCAGUGCCCUGAAACCGAUGCUUCCAAUCUGUAAAAUAGGGCUGCAAGGCUGAAGAAUUUUACUUCUGAUGCAGGCAAGCCAUCAUCACCAAAUAUCUACCUUCAUAGUACCCUUCCACUUCUACCUAAAAACAGAAUUGUCCAUCUCUGUCAAUGCAAGCUUAGGAAAGGCAGACCGCCAUUGACAUGAAAGCCACUACUUUUUUCAAACCUCACUGCAAUGACCAAGAGCUCACAUUGACUUUCAAGUUUUUAUCCAAACAAUAAACUUGUGCUUCCAA